AACGCACCUUGCGCCCUCUGGUAUUCCGGAGGGCAUGCCUGUUUGAGUGUCAUGAACACCUCACCCCUUCGGGUUUCCGACUGGGUGGAUUUGGGCGUUGCCAGUCACAUGGCUCGCCUUAAAAGCAUCAGCGGUCUCUGGCGUGAUAAGUUCUGCUGUGGACCGCUUCCAACCCGUCUUCUAGACACUUCAUGAUCUGACCUCAAAUCAGGUAGGACUACCCGCUGAACUUAA
rnacentral:misc_RNA from 1 species